rnacentral:lncRNA from 1 species
AGGACUGGAGCACUGCUGUCGUCUUUUCAUCAGGUGUGUCUUUUCAACUCCACCAUUCUCACAUAAUAUACCGUCAAACAACUACUCAAAUCAAUAAAAGAAACAAGGAACCCCAAUCACAAUCUAUAAAUGAAGUAGUAAUCCUAAAACUGCAAAAAAACAAAACAAACAAUGCUGCUGCACAUUCAUAACCGUUAUUCUUAUCAACAUCAUCACCAAUUUCGCUCCUAAACCUCUCACCAUGCCCACAGAUUCCUCUG